AAGACCUUGCGCUUUUGGAGCGGCCGAUGUCUGAUUAGCUUGUUGGUAAGGUAAAAGCUUACCAAGGCUUCGAUCAGUAGCUGGUCUGAGAGGACGGCCAGCCACACUGGGACUGAGACACGGCCCAGACUCCUACGGGAGGCAGCAGUGGGGAAUUUUGGACAAUGGGGGCAACCCUGAUCCAGCCAUGCCGCGUGAGUGAAGAAGGCCUUCGGGUUGUAAGGCUCUUUCAGCCGGAACGAAACGGUUACGGUUAAUACCCGUGACUACUGACGGUACCGGAAGAAGAAGCACCGGCUAACUACGUGCCAGCAGCCGCGGUAAUACGUAGGGUGCGAGCGUUAAUCGGAAUUACUGGGCGUAAAGCGUGCGCAGGUGGUUUUGUAAGUCAGAUGUGAAAGCCCCGGGCUCAACCUGGGAACU
rnacentral:rRNA from 1 species